GACAGAGGUGCCAAGCGUUAGGCGGAAUCACUGGGCUUAAAGCGUGUGUAGGUGGAUUUCUAAGUACCUUGUGAAAUCCCACAGCUCAACUGUGGAACUGCUUGGUAUACUGGUUAUCUUGAGGCAACUAGGGGCUACCGGAACAAAUGGUGGAGCGGUAAAAUGCGUAGAUAUCUGGAGGAACACCGGUGGCGAAGGCGGCAUCCUGGACCGGUAUUGACGCUGAGGCGCGAAAGCUAGGGGAGCAAACGGGG
rnacentral:rRNA from 1 species